UGAGGAACAUGACUUUCGGCGGGGGAUAGCCAGCCCAACGGCCGGGUAAUACCGCGUACGACCACAUGGGGACAUCCCUGAGUGGUGAAAGCAGCAAUGCGCCGAUGGAGUGCCUCGCGGCCUAUCAGCUAGUUGGUGAGGUAACGGCUCACCAAGGCGACGACGGGUAGCUGGUCUGAGAGGAUGGCCAGCCACAGUUGGGACUGAGACACCGGCCCAGACUCCGUACGGG
rnacentral:rRNA from 1 species